GUGAAUCCGGCCAGAGGACCGUGUCAGCCGGUCAGUUUUACUGGGGCGGUAUCCUCCCAAAGAGUAACGGAGGAGCGCGAAGGUGGGCUCAGCCCGGUUGGCAACCGGGUGUCGAGUGCAUGGGCAUAAGCCCGCCUAACUGUGAGACCAACAAGUCGAGCAGAUGCGAAAGCAGGCCCAAGUGAUCCGGCGGUAGAAAGUGGAAUUGCCGUCGCUCAACGGAUAAAAGCUACCUCGGGGAUAACAGGCUGAUCUCCCCCAAGAGUUCACAUCGACGGGGAGGUUUGGCACCUCGAUGUCGGCUCGUCGCAUCCUGGGGCUGAAGCAGGU
rnacentral:rRNA from 1 species